UUCUUCAAACUGUCUAAUUUAGGCAAUACAAUAAACAUUGGUUUCCCAUAUCAUCCCCAUUCUCUCUCGUAGUUCACGAAACUCAAUUCUCUAAUAUAAGAACACUUACUAAUAAACUUGUACAGUGUUUCUGCAGAUAACCUAAUGUCAUCGAAUUGUACCUCUUGCAAUUAGUCAAAUUUUUCUCUCCCGUGAAGCAAAUUCUCAUCAAGCAUGCAACAAGUUAAAUGAAGAACAGUAAGGCAUGUCGACUGAAAAAUAUAGGGCAAAUGGUAAGAUUUAUUAAAUCUCAAAUACACCUCAUGAACAUCGUUUUCGUCUAUCAAUCUCAUCAGAUUGAAAACAUUCUGAUCAUACUCAGAACUAUACUCUAUAUUUAAUUGAACAACAUAUUGUAUACUGUAGCGGUAUAUUGUAGUUGUGUUCUUCUUCGAUUUUAAAUGAAAAUUUCGAUCUCAAUCACCUCAAAUCAGCUCCAAAUGCUAUCAAAUUUCAAUAUGAACUUCCAGAAGGUAGUAUAAUCAAUAUUUAACAGUACCCACUUUGACUCAAACAAGAAAUCUUCAAGAAUAAAAUUGAGCUUCAAGCCCAACAAAGAUAAAUAUUAAAAUGCACAUAAAAAUUUAGAUCUGCGAAGCUUACUCGAAGAUAUUAUAAGCAAUAUUUUAUAGCACCACAUCGAAUCAAACAAUAACUCUUUAAAAUAAUAGCACUGCUUCAACAAAGCAAUCAUGAAAGAAGAGGCGAAUAUCCUUGGGGUC
rnacentral:lncRNA from 1 species